AGUGAACGCUGGCGGCGUGCCUAAUACAUGCAAGUCGAACGGAGAGGCGCACGGGGGAGUAAUAUAUAGCUAAUCUGCCCCUUGCUGGAGGACAACAGUUAGAAAUGACUGCUAAUACUCCAUAGCAUGGGAUGAGACUAUAUCGUAUCAGCUAGUCGGUGGGGUAACGGCCUACCGAGGCUAUGACGCGUAACCGGUCUGAGAGGUUGAUCAGUCAAAUUGGAACUGAGACACCGUCCAAACUCCUACGAAAGGGAGCAGUAGUGAAGAAUGCGCAAUGGGGGAAACCCUGACGCAUCACCGCGGCGUGGAGGAUGACAAUAUUCGAGGCGUAAACUCAUUUUGUUAGGGAAGCGGUACCUAACGAAUAAGCACCGGCUAACUCCGUGCCAGCAGCCGCGGUAAUAC
rnacentral:rRNA from 1 species